UACGAAGGGGGCUAGCGUUGUUCGGAAUUACUGGGCGUAAAGGGCGCGUAGGCGGUUUGUCAAGUCAGGCGUGAAAGCCCCGGGCUCAACCUGGGAACUGCGCUUGAGACUGGCAGGCUCGAGUUCGGGAGAGGAUGGUGGAAUUCCCGGUGUAGUGGUGAAAUGCGUAGAGAUCGGGAGGAACACCCGUGGCGAAGGCGGCCAGCUGGGCCGGACCUGACGCUGAGGCGCGAAGGCGUGGGGAGCGAACGGG
rnacentral:rRNA from 1 species